GAACUCAUGAACCAAGCAUCUAAAUCAAGUACCAUGCGAAAUAUCAUCUCCUGCAGUAUCACUGCAUACAAAAAGAUUCCACCUUUAUCGCCCAAUGUUCUUCUAAUGAUCCCUCCCUUAUGGUACAAGCUCUAUCAUUUCAUCCCAGCAUAGUUCCACUAUUAAGAUAAAUUACCAGACGUUUCAGAUUCACGUAGUUUGCUUCAAGGCCUCUAUAUGAGUGCUGCAUGCUACUGUAACCCAUGAAAGUAAAUGGAGAAACCAUUAGAAACAGGGGGCACCAGGGAUUGUGGCAGUUGGAAGUAGCUUUCCAUUUGCUUGCUUCUUAGGUUUCAAUGCUGUUCAGAAAGAGCAGCUGGAGUUGGAGACAGUAAGGAUGUCCGGUUGAUGAACUGGCCAUCAUCGCCCUUUAAUCAAAAGCAAACGAAAGCAGCUUAAGCACAAACCGAAUGAGCUAUUAUUACCCACUGACAGCCGCAGAUUUUGAGAAGUGGAUCGCCAUUCUUCGAACCAACUUGUUCACAGAGCAAAACAACAACACGGGGAUCAGAAGAAGCAGGGAUGAAUGAGUCCCGUUCUUUACUUUUCCUUCUCUACUCUCAAUACUAUAACCUUUGUUGGACUUCAACCAUAGCGGCGGAAUCAGAUGAUGC
rnacentral:lncRNA from 1 species